rnacentral:sRNA from 5 species
GCCGUAGCCAUUUUGGCUCAAG